rnacentral:rRNA from 1 species
UACGGAGGGGGCUAGCGUUGUUCGGAAUUACUGGGCGUAAAGCGCGCGUAGGCGGCUUUGUAAGUUAGAGGUGAAAGCCCAGGGCUCAACCCUGGAAUUGCCUUUAAGACUGCAUCGCUUGAACAUCGGAGAGGUAAGUGGAAUUCCGAGUGUAGAGGUGAAAUUCGUAGAUAUUCGGAAGAACACCAGUGGCGAAGGCGACUUACUGGACGAUUUUUGACGCUGAGGUGCGAAAGCGUGGGGAGCAAACAGG